GCACUCCCGGGGCGUCUCUAUCUCAUUGCGAGAAGAGGCGCACCUAGAGCGUACACGCUGAUACCCGAAAGAUGGUGAACUAUGCCUGGCCAGGACGAAGCCAGGGGAAACCCUGGUGGAGGUCCGCAGCGAUUCUGACGUGCAAAUCGAUCGUCGGAGCUGGGUUUAGGGGCGAAAGACCAAUCGAACCAUCUAGUAGCUGGUUCCCUCUGAAGUUUCCCUCAGGAUAGCUUGCGCUCGGGCGAGACGAGUCUCAUCCGGUAGAGCGAAUGAUUAGAGGCCUUGGGGUCGAAACGACCUCAACCUAUUCUCAAACUCCAAAUAGAUGAGAACCCUGGCUUUCUUGAAUUAUGAAGCCAGGGGCUCGGAUCAGAGUGCCAAGUGGGCCAAUUUUGGUAAGCAGAACUGGCGCUGUGGGAUGAACCAAACGCGGAGUUAAGGCGCCUCAAUCGACGCUCAUGUGAAAACCAUGAAAAGGGCGUUGGUUGUUAAAGACAGCAG
rnacentral:rRNA from 1 species